rnacentral:rRNA from 1 species
AGUCAUAUGCUUGUCUCAAAGAUUAAGCCAUGCAUGUCUAAGUAUAAGCAAUUAUACGGCGAAACUGCGAAUGGCUCAUUAUAUAAGUUAUCGUUUAUUUGAUAGCACGUUUCUACUUGGAUAACCGUGGUAAUUCUAGAGCUAAUACAUGCUGAAAAUCCCGACUUCGGAAGGGAUGUAUUUAUUAGAUUAAAAACCAAUGCCCUCUGGGCUUGCUGGUGAUUCAUGAUAACUGCGCGAAUCGCAGGGCCUUGCGCCGGCGAUGGUUCAUUCAAAUCUCUUCCCUAUCAACUUUCGAUGCGAAGAUCUGGUCUUCGCAUGGUUACAACGGGUAACGGAGGGUUAGGGCUCGACCCCGGAGAAGGAGCCUGAGAGACGGCUACUACAUCCAAGGAAGGCAGCAGGCGCGCAAAUUACCCAAUCCCGACACGGGGAGGUAGUGACAAUAAAUACUGAUACAGGGCUCUUUUGGGUCUUGUAAUUGGAAUGAGUACAAUUUAAAUCCCUUAACGAGGAACAAUUGGAGGGCAAGUCUGGUGCCAGCAGCCGCGGUAAUUCCAGCUCCAAUAGCGUAUAUUAAAGUUGUUGUGGUUAAAAAGCUCGUAGUUGAACCUUGGGCCUGGCUGGCUGGUCCCCCUCACCGGGUGCACUUGCCCAGCCGGGCCUUUCCCUCUACGGAACCCCAUGGCCUUCACUGGUCGUGGCGGGGAAGUAGGACUUUUACUUUGAAAAAAUUAGAGUGCUCCAGGCAGGCCUAUGCUCGAAUACAUUAGCAUGGAAUAAUAGAAUAGGACGCGUGGUUCUAUUUUGUUGGUUUCUAGGACCGCCGUAAUGAUUAAUAGGGACAGUCGGGGGCAUCAGUAUUCAAUUGUCAGAGGUGAAAUUCUUGGAUCUAUUGAAGACUAACUACUGCGAAAGCAUUUGCCAAGGAUGUUUUCAUUGAUAAGGAACGAAAGUUAGGGGAUCGAAGACGAUCAGAUACCGUCGUAGUCUUAACUAUAAACUAUGCCGACUAGGGAUCGGACGAUGUUAUCACUUGACUCGUUCGGCACCUUUCGAGAAAUCAAAGUGCUUGGGCUCCAGGGGGAGUAUGGUCGCAAGGCUGAAA